rnacentral:miRNA from 1 species
UAGCCAGGGAUGACUUGCCU